rnacentral:rRNA from 1 species
UAGCGUAGGGGGCAAGCGUUGUCCGGAUUUAUUGGGCGUAAAGAGCGUGUAGGCGGUUAGGUAGGUCCGUUGUGAAAACUCGAGGCUCAACCUCGAGACGCCGAUGGAAACCAUCUGACUAGAGUCCGGAAGAGGAGAGUGGAAUUCCUGGUGUAGCGGUGAAAUGCGCAGAUAUCAGGAAGAACACCCGUGGCUAAGGCGGCUCUCUAGUACGGUACUGACGCUGAGACGCGAAAGCGUGGGGAGCAAACAGG